rnacentral:rRNA from 1 species
UUAAGCGACUAAGCGUACACGGUGGAUGCCCUGGCAGUCAGAGGCGAUGAAGGACGUGCUAAUCUGCGAUAAGCGUCGGUAAGGUGAUAUGAACCGUUAUAACCGGCGAUUUCCGAAUGGGGAAACCCAGUGUGAUUCGUCACACUAUCAUUAACUGAAUCCAUAGGUUAAUGAGGCGAACCGGGGGAACUGAAACAUCUAAGUACCCCGAGGAAAAGAAAUCAACCGAGAUUCCCCCAGUAGCGGCGAGCGAACGGGGAGGAGCCCAGAGCCUGAAUCAGUGUGUGUGUUAGUGGAAGCGUCUGGAAAGGCGCGCGAUACAGGGUGACAGCCCCGUACACAAAAAUGCACAUAUUGUGAGCUCAAUGAGUAGGGCGGGACACGUGGUAUCCUGUCUGAAUAUGGGGGGACCAUCCUCCAAGGCUAAAUACUCCUGACUGACCGAUAGUGAACCAGUACCGUGAGGGAAAGGCGAAAAGAACCCCGGCGAGGGGAGUGAAAAAGAACCUGAAACCGUGUACGUACAAGCAGUGGGAGCACGCUUAGGCGUGUGACUGCGUACCUUUUGUAUAAUGGGUCAGCGACUUAUAUUCUGUAGCAAGGUUAACCGAAUAGGGGAGCCGAAGGGAAACCGAGUCUUAACUGGGCGUUAAGUUGCAGGGUAUAGACCCGAAACCCGGUGAUCUAGCCAUGGGCAGGUUGAAGGUUGGGUAACACUAACUGGAGGACCGAACCGACUAAUGUUGAAAAAUUAGCGGAUGACUUGUGGCUGGGGGUGAAAGGCCAAUCAAACCGGGAGAUAGCUGGUUCUCCCCGAAAGCUAUUUAGGUAGCGCCUCGUGAAUUCAUCUCCGGGGGUAGAGCACUGUUUCGGCAAGGGGGUCAUCCCGACUUACCAACCCGAUGCAAACUGCGAAUACCGGAGAAUGUUAUCACGGGAGACACACGGCGGGUGCUAACGUCCGUCGUGAAGAGGGAAACAACCCAGACCGCCAGCUAAGGUCCCAAAGUCAUGGUUAAGUGGGAAACGAUGUGGGAAGGCCCAGACAGCCAGGAUGUUGGCUUAGAAGCAGCCAUCAUUUAAAGAAAGCGUAAUAGCUCACUGGUCGAGUCGGCCUGCGCGGAAGAUGUAACGGGGCUAAACCAUGCACCGAAGCUGCGGCAGCGACGCUUAUGCGUUGUUGGGUAGGGGAGCGUUCUGUAAGCCUGUGAAGGUGUGCUGUGAGGCAUGCUGGAGGUAUCAGAAGUGCGAAUGCUGACAUAAGUAACGAUAAAGCGGGUGAAAAGCCCGCUCGCCGGAAGACCAAGGGUUCCUGUCCAACGUUAAUCGGGGCAGGGUGAGUCGACCCCUAAGGCGAGGCCGAAAGGCGUAGUCGAUGGGAAACAGGUUAAUAUUCCUGUACUUGGUGUUACUGCGAAGGGGGACGGAGAAGGCUAUGUUGGCCGGGCGACGGUUGUCCCGGUUUAAGCGUGUAGGCUGGUUUUCCAGGCAAAUCCGGAAAAUCAAGGCUGAGGCGUGAUGACGAGGCACUACGGUGCUGAAGCAACAAAUGCCCUGCUUCCAGGAAAAGCCUCUAAGCAUCAGGUAACAUCAAAUCGUACCCCAAACCGACACAGGUGGUCAGGUAGAGAAUACCAAGGCGCUUGAGAGAACUCGGGUGAAGGAACUAGGCAAAAUGGUGCCGUAACUUCGGGAGAAGGCACGCUGAUAUGUAGGUGAAGUCCCUCGCGGAUGGAGCUGAAAUCAGUCGAAGAUACCAGCUGGCUGCAACUGUUUAUUAAAAACACAGCACUGUGCAAACACGAAAGUGGACGUAUACGGUGUGACGCCUGCCCGGUGCCGGAAGGUUAAUUGAUGGGGUUAGCGGUAACGCGAAGCUCUUGAUCGAAGCCCCGGUAAACGGCGGCCGUAACUAUAACGGUCCUAAGGUAGCGAAAUUCCUUGUCGGGUAAGUUCCGACCUGCACGAAUGGCGUAAUGAUGGCCAGGCUGUCUCCACCCGAGACUCAGUGAAAUUGAACUCGCUGUGAAGAUGCAGUGUACCCGCGGCAAGACGGAAAGACCCCGUGAACCUUUACUAUAGCUUGACACUGAACAUUGAGCCUUGAUGUGUAGGAUAGGUGGGAGGCUUGGAAGUGUGGACGCCAGUCUGCAUGGAGCCGACCUUGAAAUACCACCCUUUAAUGUUUGAUGUUCUAACGUUGACCCGUAAUCCGGGUUGCGGACAGUGUCUGGUGGGUAGUUUGACUGGGGCGGUCUCCUCCUAAAGAGUAACGGAGGAGCACGAAGGUUGGCUAAUCCUGGUCGGACAUCAGGAGGUUAGUGCAAUGGCAUAAGCCAGCUUGACUGCGAGCGUGACGGCGCGAGCAGGUGCGAAAGCAGGUCAUAGUGAUCCGGUGGUUCUGAAUGGAAGGGCCAUCGCUCAACGGAUAAAAGGUACUCCGGGGAUAACAGGCUGAUACCGCCCAAGAGUUCAUAUCGACGGCGGUGUUUGGCACCUCGAUGUCGGCUCAUCACAUCCUGGGGCUGAAGUAGGUCCCAAGGGUAUGGCUGUUCGCCAUUUAAAGUGGUACGCGAGCUGGGUUUAGAACGUCGUGAGACAGUUCGGUCCCUAUCUGCCGUGGGCGCUGGAGAACUGAGGGGGGCUGCUCCUAGUACGAGAGGACCGGAGUGGACGCAUCACUGGUGUUCGGGUUGUCAUGCCAAUGGCACUGCCCGGUAGCUAAAUGCGGAAGAGAUAAGUGCUGAAAGCAUCUAAGCACGAAACUUGCCCCGAGAUGAGUUCUCCCUGACUCCUUGAGAGUCCUGAAGGAACGUUGAAGACGACGACGUUGAUAGGCCGGGUGUGUAAGCGCAGCGAUGCGUUGAGCUAACCGGUACUAAUGAACCGUGAGGCUUAACCUU